AUGGCUGCGCAGCCGGCCGAGCGGUCGUUCCACGUGAUCGUGGUGGGCGCGGGCAUCAUGGGCAGCUGCGCGGCGCACGCGGCGGCGUCCCGGGGCGCGCGCGUGCUCCUGCUCGAGCAGUUCGACCUGCUGCACCAGCGCGGGUCGUCGCACGGCGAGUCCCGCACCAUCCGCGCCACCUACCCGCAGCCGCGCUACCCGCCCAUGGUCCGCCUCUCGCGCCGCCUCUGGGACGACGCGCAGCGCGACUCCGGGUACGCCGUGCUCACGCCCACCCCGCACCUCGACCUGGGCCCGCGGGACGACCCGGCGUUCGUCGCCUCCGUCGCCAACGGCGGCGCCACCUUCCUCGCCUCGGCGGCGGACGCGCCACGCCCAUCGUGGGCGGAUGCGUUCAGGGUGCCCGACGGGUGGGCGGCGGCGAGCAGCGAGCUGGGCGGGGUGAUGAAGGCGACCAAGGCGGUGGCCAUGUUCCAGGCGCUGGCCGCCAAGAUGGGCGCCGUCGUGAGGGACAGGACGGAGGUCGUCGACGUCGCCAGGAAAGCAGGAGAAGGAACGACGGCGACGAUCGUGGUGAAGACAGCUACCGGCGAGGAGUUCCACGGCGGCAAGUGCAUCAUCACCGUCGGCGCGUGGACGAGCAAGCUGGUCAAGUCGGUCACCGGCGCCGACCUGCCCGUGCAGCCGCUGCACACCCUCAUCUGCUACUGGAAGGUGAAGCCCGGGCACGAGCGCGAGCUCACGACAGAGGCCGGCUUCCCGACGUUCGCGAGCUACGGCGUCCCCUACAUCUAUAGCACGCCGUCGAUGGAGUACCCGGGGCUGAUCAAGAUCGCCAUGCACGGCGGGCCGCCGUGCGACCCGGACGGCCGGGACUGGGCCAUCGGCCCGGGGGAGGACGGGCUGGUGGAGCCCGUGGCGCGGUGGAUCGACGAGGUGAUGCCGGGCCGCGUGGAGACCGCGGGCGGGCCGGUGGUCCGGCAGGCGUGCAUGUACUCCAUGACGCCCGACGAGGACUUCGUGAUCGACUUCCUGGGCGGCGAGGAGUUCGGGAGGGACGUGGUGGUCGGCGCCGGGUUCUCCGGCCACGGGUUCAAGAUGGGCCCGGCGGUGGGGAGGAUCCUGGCGGAGAUGGCGCUGGACGGCGAGUCGGGGACGGCCGCGGAGGCCGGCGUGGAGCUCCGGCACUUCAGCAUCCGGCGGUUCGACGGCAACCCGACGGGGAACGCCAGGAGUUUCUGA
rnacentral:rRNA from 1 species